GGGCGGGGGCGCGCGGCCGGCGCGGGGCCUGCCGGGAGCUGUAGUUUCCGGGCGUGCCCGAGCGGGUGGGAGCCGCGCGGGGAUAUCGCUGUGCCUUUGCGCGGUGCAGGGCAGCUGGAGCUCAGCAGGCGCGGACGUCCCUGCGUCUCCGUGGCCGCGGGGGAGCGGGGCGCGACCGUGCGUUUAAACCAGUCACACACGGCACUUGAGCCCCGUCGUUGCCUUUUUGUCUUUUGUCGUCCGCUCUUGACGGAGGCCCCGGUGGCAAGAACCAAGAGGUGACAGCUUGAACGGGGCACCCCGAGAGCCUGUCUCCCUGCUCCCCACGUUUUCCUCCCUCGGGCCUGCCUUCCAGGUGGCCGCCUGGCACCGCGGAGCCCCGGGCAUUCCGCACCGGAGGCGAGGCGCAGACCUCCUGAGCCCUUCGUCGGAGCGGAGGGUACCGAAGUGGCUGCUCUCGGUGUUCUGUGUUUCCUGUCGUCCGUCCUUCAACUCGCAUGUGUCCCCUUCCCAUCAAAGUGAAGUGCAGUCAAGAAUCACGACCCUAGGCUGCCACGUCCAGGGAAGCAAGGGGUUGUGAGAAGGAAGAGAUGCCCCGAGUGCACCACACGUGCAGUGAAUAUUGAAGGUAGUCCACCCAGGUAUGUAUCAUGGUUCCGCCACUGAACAGCUGGGUGAACAUGGGCACAGCAACCUCAGGCAGCUUCCAUCUCAGCAUCAGUUACCUUGGAUGAUAGCACUCCUCACCCUGUGAGUUGUGUAAGAAGUAAAUGACAUAACACAUGAAAGACCGUUUUAAAAAUUCACAAGUGAAUGCUCAGUAAAUGUUAGCUAUUAUUCACAUUAAAAGAGAGCUUUUUACAGGACCACAUCUUCCGGCAGCACAGAGAAAGAAAAGUUAAUAAGCUUGAGUCUGUGAAGGGAAAUUUAAGAUAAUAGUGACAUGUUUAAAUGACACAGGAAUCCCUAUGGCCAUAGAAUGAAUUCUUUCUUACUUCGUCAAAGGAAGAUCCUAUGGCACAGGUACUUGGUUAACCAGAAGCCAUCACUGUGACAGUCUACACUGACAGUUUUACGUGUUCCCGUGCAGGAUAAAAAUCACUAAAUGGUUUUACAAUUGUUGGGUUUGCUUUUAAUAGUUAACCAGACUAUACUGAGCUGAAUAUUUUACUAUAAUUGGUUCCCUGAUCAUAUAUCUCAAAUUUCCAAAUCUUAAGUAUCUCCAGAAAGAAUUCUGAUUAACCCUGGACUUUGAACUGUCUCAUCACUCCUUAAGUGAUGAUGGAGUGUGCAGGUGAAAGCUAAUUGAGGUGAAUUUGGCUUGCCUUUUUUCCCUAGAUUGCCCUUAAAACUUUCCAGUCCCAGGUAUACUGAUUCGAUAAACACUUUUGAGAGGCUAUGUGCAUGGCAUUUGAUGGGAUCUAUAAGUGAAACAAUUGCUAUUCUUGGGGACUAGUGUUUAUUAAAUGAGGUAUGUAAAGAUCUGUCAUAUGGAGAAAAGAAUAAAAAAGGUACAUAGGAGGCA
rnacentral:lncRNA from 1 species